rnacentral:tRNA from 1 species
UGGUGUAGCGGUUAGCACUCAGGACUGUGAAUCCUGCGACGGGAAUUCAAAUCUCCCCGGGACCU